CACAGAUUUCCACCCAGCCCCCUCUUUUUUUUUUUUUUUUUUUUACUUACUACUUGUGCAUUUCCUCCUCCCUCUCUUUUUUCCCUUCAGGGAAACUUUUAAAUAAAACCUUUCCCAGACUGUCAUUUGCCUCUACAGUGCUGCUGAAAAGCUGCAGUAGCAUUGCUCUAACAGCGAGUCAUCAUCAGAGAAAGGAGCACUCCCUGCAUUGCAGAGUCCUAUGCUGCUGGUUUGCCCACCAGACUGCAGGAGUAGGUGAAGUGGGAGUAACUGGAUGGAGAAGACGACCCUUGAUUGUCCUGAAACAAGCACAUGUGAAAACAUGGUUUCGGUCAGCUGUAGGAAUGUAGUAGAGACAAUACAUUGGGUUGCUGACAGUCUAAUCCGGAUGUCUUUUUUAAAACAAUAAGGUACCCUUGCAAGCAUAAAUUAGGGACUAGUUUUGUUUAGGUGAUGUUUCUCAUCAUGGAUAAUUUUAUCACAAAUAAAGCACAGUUAAAAAAUUGUCCUGGUCUCCA
rnacentral:lncRNA from 1 species